rnacentral:rRNA from 1 species
AGAGUUUGAUCAUGGCUCAGGAUGAACGCUAGCUACAGGCUUAACACAUGCAAGUCGAGGGGAGACGACAUCGAAAGCUUGCUUUUGAUGGGCGUCGACCGGCGCACGGGUGAGUAACGCGUAUCCAACCUGCCCAUCACUUGGGGAUAACCUUGCGAAAGUAAGACUAAUACCCAAUGACGUCUCUAGAAGACAUCUGAAAGAGAUUAAAGAUUUAUCGGUGAUGGAUGGGGAUGCGUCUGAUUAGCUUGUUGGCGGGGUAACGGCCACAAGGCGACGAUCAGUAGGGGUCUGAGAGGAGGUCCCCANAUUGGAACUGAGACACGGUCCAAACUCCUACGGGAGGCA